rnacentral:rRNA from 1 species
GACAGAGGGGGCAAGCGUUGCUCGGAAUUACUGGGCGUAAAGGGCGCGUAGGCGGGAUGGCAAGUCAGUCGUGAAAUCUCUCGGCUCAACCGAGAAACGUCGGCUGAUACUGCCGUUCUUGAGGGAUGCAGAGGAGACUGGAAUUCCCGGUGUAGCGGUGAAAUGUGUAGAGAUCGGGAGGAACACCGGUGGCGAAGGCAAGUCCCUGGACAACACCUGACACUGAGGCACGAAAGCUAGGGGAGCAAACAGG